GACGUAGGGUGCGAGCGUUGUCCGGAUUUAUUGGGCGUAAAGAGCUCGUAGGCGGCUCGUCGCGUCGUCCGUGAAAACCCGCGGCUUAACCGCGGCUUGCGGUUGAUACGGGCGGCUAGAGUUCGGUAGGGGAGACGUGGAAUUCCUGGUGUAGCGGUGGAAUGCGCAGAUAUCAGGAAGAACACCCGUGGCGAAGGCGGUUCUCUGGGACGGUACUGACGCUGAGACGCGAAAGCGUGGGGAGCGAACAGG
rnacentral:rRNA from 1 species